AGUAAAAGUCGUAACAAGGUUUCCGUAGGUGAACCUGCGGAAGGAUCAUUACCGAGUUUUCGGGCUUCGGCUCGACUCUCCCACCCUUUGUGAACGUACCUCUGUUGCUUUGGCGGCUCCGGCCGCCAAAGGACCUCCAAACUCCAGUCAGUAAACGCAGACGUCUGAUAAACAAGUUAAUAAACUAAAACUUUCAACAACGGAUCUCUUGGUUCUGGCAUCGAUGAAGAACGCAGCGAAAUGCGAUAAGUAAUGUGAAUUGCAGAAUUCAGUGAAUCAUCGAAUCUUUGAACGCACAUUGCGCCCCUUGGUAUUCCGGGGGGCAUGCCUGUUCGAGCGUCAUUACAACCCUCAAGCUCUGCUUGGAAUUGGGCACCGUCCUCACUGCGGACGCGCCUCAAAGACCUCGGCGGUGGCUGUUCAGCCCCCAAGCGUAGUAGAAUACACCUCGCUUUGGAGUGGUUGGCGUCGCCCGCCGGACGAACCUUCUGAACUUUUCUCAAGGUUGACCUCGGAUCAGGUAGGGAUACCCGCUGAACUUAAGCAUAUCAAUAAGCGGAGGAAAAGAAACCAACAGGGAUUGCCUUAGUAACG
rnacentral:rRNA from 1 species